rnacentral:rRNA from 1 species
CAUGCCGUAAACGAUGUCAACUAGCCGUUGGGCUCCUUGAGGGCUUAGUGGCGCAGCUAACGCGAUAAGUUGACCGCCUGGGGAGUACGGUCGCAAGACUAAAACUCAAAUGAAUUGACGGGGGCCCGCACAAGCGGUGGAGCAUGUGGUUUAAUUCGAUGCAACGCGAAGAACCUUACCUGGCCUUGACAUGUCUGGAAUCCUGCAGAGAUGCGGGAGUGCCUUCGGGAAUCAGAACACAGGUGC